UUAAUACACCUAAUUUCGGCCAAGCUUAGCGAAAGGUCGUGCGACAUAAUCAGUCAAACAAACUUUAUUAGAUUAACUCUCUAAGGAACUAUCGUUUUCAUUGGUCAAUUCAAACCUUCGACCUCACACCUGCGAAAAUAGAACACACGUACUAUAACGUUAAAUGGACUGAUUAAUAUUCACGUAGCUGGUCAAGGUCGUUUAAAGCUUCCAUCGUCGUAUUCGCAUACAUGAUUCCAAUCAUAAUUCUAGCUUUUAUAAAUGUGCAUGUGAAAUUCAUUGGUUUUAUAAUUUUCUGCAAUUGGUAGUAAAGUUUAAACUUUAAAACCUUAACAGUUUUCACAUCUAAAUGUUCAAU
rnacentral:lncRNA from 1 species